rnacentral:lncRNA from 1 species
AUUUCCUCAUGCGUCCAGUAGGGGGAGGCUGUAUAUUAGUAUAUGAGCCUAGUCAUCAAAACAGCAGACCAUAUCUGUAUGAUAGCGGCAGACAUUUUUUUGAAGCGAUACGAAAUGAGGUAUGUAAAUAAGUUAUUGUUGUUGAUUGUAUUGUAAUGAUGCAACAUUUAUUAUUUAUAAACGAUUGAUGCGAUAUCAAUUCAAAAGAUGGGUCAAUAAUUUAUUUCGAGAGGCAAAAGUACUUGAUUGAGCCAGUCUGUCUGACUCAAACUUAGCUAACCACGUGUAGGUUAAGCUGGCCCUAGUCUUCUCUUUACCCGCUCUGUCUCACUCACUUUUAAAAUUAAAUUACAUUUUUAUUUUAUCUUGUUGUCUGUCUUUAGCUUGCGUGACAUGGCUUCUUCUGUAUGCCCUUUACACUGUGCUGAACACUCCAUUCAAUUUCACUUCGCUUGACAUGCCUGCAAUCAGGGAGUGGUGGUGUCUACGUCUAACUGAGCGGUUUGAGACAGAGGGGCAUGGGAAAAGGUUCGCCCACUGGACUGAGGAGGCAAGAUACCUGACUGAAGGGACAUUAUGACCUCUUUACAGGAGUUUUCCAGGAUUAACACAUGACUUGCCACAACAUGUUGUUGCAGAGAGGAACCGAAUGUUGUCCAACCAGGCUCUGGUGGACUUCAUUGUAGCAAGAGGAACCGAAAACCACAUUCAGGUACAUGCAUCAAGAAUGCAUUUUUUUAACUGCAUUCUAAACCAAUAGCUUGUCUAGUAAAUAAACAACUUACACUUACAUGGAAAUGUUUUUAAUGUAAUUUUCAAUUUUCUCUGCACAGUCCAUCAUCAAUGGACAAAAAAAAUCAAAGUGGCUUGACACUUUUUCCAAGUGUUCCAUCAAGAAAGUGCCUGUGCCGUCGUUCACUGACGAUCAGGAGCAAAUUGAUGUUAUCUACACUCACCUGACUUCAGUUCUGGACAGCACACACACACACCCACAGUGACCAGAUCAGAUUCAUUAUGGAUGUCCUUUUUCCAGAGGUAGGUCUUGUGUGUUAGUUGUGCUCUGCAUGCUGUCAUAUUCACAUUGUUUUUAAUGUCAAAUAGUUUAUCCAUAAUGUUAGACCAUUGCUCUAAAAAUAAUAGUUUUGUGCUUAAUAUAGAAAAGGCACUUUUGAUUUUGUUAGAAAAAAAAAAACAUGCAAAAUGAUGCUUGGCUUAUCUGAGCUGUGAUAAAUCUCAGCUCCUGCUGUUGUGGAACAUGUGUCCAUCUUGGAGGCUGAGGAGAAUUCCUGCGAGGACCUGUCAUUGACGCAAGGUACUGUAAG